UACGGAGGGUGCAAGCGUUAUCCGGAUUUACUGGUUUAAAGGGUGCGCAGGCGGAUAUGUAAGUCAGUGGUGAAAUCUCUGGCUUAACCCGGAAUUGCCAUUGAUACUAUAUAUCUUGAAUGCUGUGGAGGUAAGCGGAAUAUGUCAUGUAGCGGUGAAAUGCUUAGAGAUACAUAGAACACCUAUUGCCGAAGGCAGCUUACUACGCAGAGAUUGACGCUCAUGCACGAAGCGUGGGA
rnacentral:rRNA from 1 species